AUACGUAGGUCCCGAGCGUUGCGCGGAGUCACUGGGCGUAAAGCGUCCGCAGCCGGCUCCGCAAGCGGGAUGUCAAAGCCCACGGCUCAACCGUGGAACGGCAUCCUGAACUGCGGAGCUUGAGGCACGCUCAGGCAGGCGGAAUUCCCGGGGUAGCGGUGAAAUGCGUGGAUCUCGGGAGGAACACCGAAGGGGAAGCCAGCCUGCUGGAGCUGUCCUGACGGUCAGGGACGAAAGCCAGGGGAGCGAACCGGAUUAGAUACCCUAGUAGUCC
rnacentral:rRNA from 1 species